UGCCUACAGCAUCUACAGCAAUCUACAGCAAAUAUGCUGUCCGAAAGAACCCGUUAACAUCAAGGGCAACAAGUGCUGAGAUUGUGACGGUGAUGAAAAGGUGGCUGCAGCUGGCUUCAGACCGUGGAGGAGGAUGGAAGAGGGGGUGCUGCGAAGAUAGUUAAGUAGCACCAUGAUAUCAGCAGUUAGAUGCGCAAGCUGAUAAUGAGUGUCCAGAUCCAGAUCCAGUAAAGGGGAGAAGAAGGAA